rnacentral:misc_RNA from 1 species
UUCUAAAUCAGUGAAGCUAGUA